CACCACCUCCUGGUGAGGACGAACACCCUUGGCUGUAUCUACAAUAAAUGUUUUAUUUUCUCGGAAUAAAGGAUUCAUCCUACCGGAUAAAAUGUCUGUUAUGUUUAACAAAAGUUCAGGAAAUACUAGCGUUCAAGAACUCGCCGUCGAACCUAAAAAACACAUUGAGAGAAAGCAUGUAUACAAUCUUAAGUAUGGAGAACUGACUGCAAACACACUGAAGAGAGAACAUGCCCCUAAGACUCCUUCCACCAUCAAGCAGAGCACAUUACUGAAGACAGUGUCACAGGAAUCCAUCGACAAAGAUGUGGUGAAGUAUGUGGUCCAAGGGCUCCAACCAUUCGAUGUUGUAGAACAAGAACCAUAAAGAGAGUUUGUCCAUUAUCUGCAGCUUAACUCAAAUAUCUUAUCAAGGCCCCCACUGCGCUUCAGGAUUGAAGCCUCCAAGGAAAUGAAGAAGAAGGUGACUGAGGCCAUGAGAGGAGUUGACCAAAUCGCCACCACUGACUGCUGGUCUGCAAGAAGCCGGAGCUUCAUUGGUGUUACAGCCCACAAGAUAGACCCUGACAGUCUCAACACAUGCUCUGCAGCCCUGGCCUGUAAACUGUUGAGAAGAUUGCACACCUUUGAUGUGUUGGCAGGCGCCCUAAAUGACAUCCAUUUUGAGUUUGAAAUCUGAGUUAAGAUUGUGAGAACAACAACAGACAAGGGCUCUGACUUCUUGAAAGCUUUCCCAGUUUUUGGAGAAGAUUAAAACAACGAGGCAGUGUGUGGUGAAGCAGCUCAGACAGGACAGGAAGAUGGUGAAGAGGAACAAGAAGAGAGUGAAGAAGUGGAGUUUGUUGAUGUGGCAACGAUCCUGAAGCACUGUGCUUGCCACCUACUCAACUUAGUGUCUACAGUUGAUGCCCUGAAAGCAACAUUCAGUGAGGCUUACAAAAAAGUGUCCCGUUCAACAUUUGGCAAGUGCCAGCACUUUGGAACAAAUGCGGAAGAUCCACACUUGCAGCCGAAAAGGUUGAAGAUGCUAGCGCCUUCCAGCUGCUGUGCCUGAAUGCUACAAGGUGGAACUCCUGGUUCAUGACUGUAGAAAGACUCCUGAGGAUCGUCAAAGACAAAGGAGAGGCAGUCGUCUGAGUUCUCUGCAAAGACUUCCGAGGUUCAAUGCAUCUGAACUCACCUUCCUCACAGAGUAUGCUGCCACCAUGAGCCCAGUCGCAAAGGCCAUCAACAUCCUGCAGGCUGAAACCAAUGCCCAGAUGGGGUGGCUACUUCCAACUAUCAACCUGCUGAUCACAAAACCGAAUCAAGUUGUCCCUGAAGUACAGUAAGCCUCUGGUGGAUGCGCUACAACUGGGACUGAAGAAGCACUUCGGCCAGAAUGUUUCACGACCCUGAGCUGAUACCAGCUGCAAUCCUUCUCCCCAAAUUCAAAACAACGUCAACAAAGGAUGACGCCACCAUUAGAAUGGGAAUGGACUACAUCAAGGACCACCUGGAAGAACCCUUGCUGCAGCUGGGUUAUGGCACCAGUUCAUCAGAUGAGGAUGACUUCUCUGCCAUGAAAACAUCUCAAGCAUAAGAAAGCUCCAAACAGCUGGACGAAUACCUGGCCUGUUCAGCUGAUCAUAUGGCGUUCCUUCCCGGCAGUGUCAGUGAUUGUAAGUUCUUACGUGUACUGGCUAUAUUCCUUCAUUAUUAAGGCAUAAUUCAAUUUUGUCUGUAAGAGAUGUAUUUUGAAGUGUUUCCUAUUUGAGAAUCCACAUUUAUUUAUUUAUCUGAGCUCUUCUUGCAUCCGUAAGUAAGACUGUUACCUUUAGAAAAGCUCAAACUGAAUAAAAGUUUUUUAUGCUUUUUGUG